CCAUUUCUUCCACUGACGUUGUUGAUAGAAAUUUUUCCAAAUUGAAAUUUUUGACUGCAAACUAAUUGUAAAAUAACGUAAUGUCGAACUAACUGAUGAAUUAUUCGUGUUAAGUGAUUAUUUAUUCGUUUAUAUGUGUAUCAUGCUAGUGUAAUUUAUAUUCGUCAAUUUCCUCACCAUAUUUUUAAGCGUAACUUAGUUGGCUGUGCUUUGAUAGAAAGGUAAUAUUUUUGUCCUCAUGUACGCGUAAUUUAUACAGAAUUCUAUCAAAAUGGGUACUAGUUCCGAUUCCGAUGUAACCGAAAUUGAAGAUGAUAAAGUAGCCAAAAAAGAACACGAACAUAAGAAGAAGAAAAAGAAGCAUAAGCAUCACAAACACAAAAAACAUUCGUCCAAACAUGAAAAAAAACACAAAAAACAUAAGCGUCACAAAGCCAGUGAAAAUGAAGUAUCCGAUGACGAACCUGAAGUUCGACCGCCUGUAAUAGAAGUUGCAGCGGAACCGAAAAGCAACCCACCUGUGAAUGGGAAUUCACAUUCGCUUAAAGAUGUCGUUAUCAAUAUCGACGAAAACAGCUCCGAAUCAGAUGUGGUACAAAUCAAAGAAAAAGAUUCAGAUUGUGAGAUCAAUGUUGAAGUUUUAGAAGAUGAUUUGAAUCUAGAAGAUUUAAUGAAACAAAAGGCUUUGCUACAGGCUAGAUUAAAUGUUUACGGUUCGGAAUCGGAUGAUGAUAAAAUUGUAACGAUUAAUUUAUUAGAUGAUAAGGAAACCGAUGUUAAACACGUUAAAAGAAGGCGAAGUCGAAGUAUCGAUAAAUCCGGUAGACCUGAUCCGAAGCGAGCCAAGAGUAGAGAUCGCGAUAAAAGAAGACCUACUCCGGACGAUCGUAAACCAUCUAAACAGUUGAAACGUUCUCCUUCACACGAUGAUAGAAGUAGAACAAAACACGACAGAGAUGACUCCUCAAGAGUUAAGGAUGAUCACCGUAAACGCGUUGCUGACUCGUAUCACCGAGAUGAGCCUCGUAAAAGGAGUCGAACCCGAGAACUAUCACGAGAUCGUUACCGAACCCAGGCGAAAGAAUUCGAUAACAGGCACCGGGAAAAAGAACGCGACAAAGAGAACCGUCGAGACAGAGAACGAAGCAGAUCCCCGGAAAAAAGCAGAGACAGAUAUAAACCAAAACCUGAUACCAGAUACGACGACAAGUACAAACGCCCCAGUGAUGAUAAAAUUAGAGAAAAUCGUAAACCUCCUCGUGGCGACGAUCGUCUCAGCAAAGACGACUUGAGACGUGACAUUGAACUAGAUAAAUACAAAAGUAGAUACCGCAGUGACAUGGAUCGCGAUCGAGAUAGACGUAAUAGACCUUCCGAUAGGUCUCAUUACAGAAGACGAUCUCGUAGUCAUAGCCGAGACAGAUCUCAUAAGGAUAAAAGCGGCAAAGAUAUGUUUAAGGAUAGUUUUUCCGAAGGACUUAAACAUGAGAUAUCAUCUUCGUCGGAUGAAGACUUAGCAGACCUAAACAUGGACAUCGAAGAAGAAAACGAAGAAGAAAUCAUCAACAAACGAAGAAAACAGAGAGAAGAAUUAAUGAAGAAACUAGUUGGUAAUGACCCAGCUCAUCCGCCUCCUUCUGUCAGCGAACCUGCUUCCUCUGCAGUUACCUCAAAUGAUGAGAUAUUGGAAGAAAAUGGCCAAAAUUCGGAUUCUAAAGACGAUUCAAUUUCUGCUUCCAAAGCUAAAAAGAAAUCUCGUUUCGAUGUCGAACCCGAGCAAGCGAAUAAGGAUAAAAAAGAGAAAGAGAAAGAUAGAGACAAAGAAAAAGAUAAAGACAAGGAUAAAGAUAAGGAGAAUUCGACCAAGAAGAAAAAUGAUGGGUGCGAUAUGUUCGCUGAAACUGAUACUUUUGGCACCAAUGUUGAUAGUCCGAGUGUAAUUUCGAAGACCGGACUAGCGGCCGAAAAUCCAGCUUUGACCGAUAACUGGGACGAUGCCGAAGGCUACUACCGAGUACGUAUCGGAGAAACGAUGGAUAAUCGAUACGUAACGUACGGAUAUACCGGCCAAGGUGUAUUUUCCAACGUAAUCCGAGCUCGAGACACUGCACGAGGCAAUCAAGACGUCGCCAUUAAAAUAAUUCGUAAUAACGAAGUCAUGCACAAGACCGGUGUAAAAGAAGCUGAAAUGUUGAGAACGUUGAACGAAGCUGAUCCCGAUGAUAAGUUCCAUUGUCUCCGGUUAUUCCGAAGCUUCUACCAUAAACAGCAUUUAUGUCUAGUUUUCGAACCACUUAGCAUGAAUUUGAGAGAAGUUUUGAAAAAAUACGGUAAAGAUGUCGGUCUGCAUAUGAAAGCAGUCAGAUCCUACACUCAACAAUUAUUCUUAGCUUUACGAUUACUGAAAAAAUGUAGCAUCCUUCAUGCCGAUAUUAAACCCGAUAAUAUCUUGGUUAACGAAAGUAAAUUAGUUUUAAAAUUAUGCGAUUUCGGUUCGGCUAGUAACGUAAAAGAGAACGAGAAAACUCCGUAUUUGGUUAGCAGAUUUUAUCGUGCUCCUGAAGUCAUUUUAGGUAUCACCUACGAUUUCGGUAUCGAUAUGUGGUCAGCUGGAUGUACCGUUUACGAAUUAUACACCGGAAAGAUUAUGUUCCCUGGAAAAACUAAUAAUCAGAUGUUGAAACUGUUUAUGGAUCUAAAAGGUAAAUUUCCGAAUAAAGUGAUCCGUAAAAGCGCGUACAGAGAUCAACAUUUCGAUGGGAAUUGUAAUUAUUUAUACCACGAAGUAGAUAAAGUUACUGAACGAGAGAAAACGGUAGUUAUGUCGACAAUAAGUGUGACUCGCGAUUUACAGAGUGAACUAGUUGGUAAUCAGAGAUUACCGGAUGAUCAGGCGAAAAAAGUUAAUCAGCUGAAGGAUCUAUUGGAGAAGAUAGUAACGCUAGAUGCUACGAAACGUAUCGCCAUUAAUCAAGCAUUGAUGCAUCCGUUUAUCGUCGAGAAAAUAUAAUGAUGUAUUUUGAUUUGUCGAAGGCGUCCAGAAUAUACUCGUAUCAGAAGAACACGAAGAAAGCGAUUGCGAUACAGUCAGAGACGCCCCCAGCAUUUGGGUGAUUUUCCACUUUCGAAUUCGAUUGAAGAUGUGAAGAUGAAAAUAAUAGUUGACGAUUAAUUGAAGACGAAUACGAGUAUUUCCUCCUACGAUCGUUGCAGUGCUGCUGAGUCAGUUUGACACGCCUUUAGUUUUAUUCCGGUGAUUUUCUACUUUCGAUCGAAGAUGAUAAUAAUGGUUAACGAUGAAUUGAAAUUGAAAACGAAUACGAGUGUUUCCUGCUGUCGUUGCAGUGCUGCUGAGUCAGAUAUAUGGCACUGCCUGGAUUCCGGUGAUUUUCUACUUUCGAUUAAAGAUGAUAAUGAUGGUUGAGGAUGAAUUGAAAACGAAUACGAGUGAUUCCUGUUGUUGUUUCAGUGCUGCUGAGUCAGAUGAUUCAGGUGUCAUUUUUUUGUUGAGUUUCGAAGAAACACGUUGAAGAUCCGGUUGAAGGUGAUGAUCUGAUGGAUAUUCUUGAUAACGUAUCGUAGCUGUGCUGUAUGAUUAGACAGAAUGAUGCUGAUUUUUUGUUGUUGUUAAUUUACGAAGAAACAUGAUAACGAUCCCGUGUCUGGUUGAAGAUAUACUUUAACGAACGAUCUUGACUAACGUUGCUGAGCUGCAUAGAUCAAAUGCGUACGCGAGAUAUUUCCCCUCCCUCCCAAGAUGAAUUCGACGCGAUUUUUGGAAUUUCUGCUAGGAUUGGAUUGGAUCGGGUAUUGUCUUGGCAGUUAUAGGCGAAUUAGCGGUCAUCAUUGUCCGUCGAUGAUGGCCACUAAUUGAAGUGCCUCCGCAUGAUUGUGGAUGAAGGAUAUGAGCCGGAUGAUUGGUCAACGUGGCGACUUACUCAGAUGGACUUCCUGACACGAAUUGUGCUUCCGUGCUGGUGGAUGCUGAUUUCGUUGCGUAUCCGAGCCGUGGCGAGAUCACUAAAGGUAUUCCAUCUGGCCAUUCUCCUAUCCGGUCAGCUUGGGUACGGUCGGAGAGAAAGUCUGCUAUAUGGUCUGUGUUAGUUGGGGUUGAAAUUUAAGUGUUUUUUCUGUUGAAAAUUUCUAAAUUUUGUCUUGCUUUUUUAUUUUUUAUUUAUUUAUUUUUUUUUCAAUUCAAUCAUUAUUUUUGGCUUCAUAUUUUCUUACAUUCUUCCUUCUCCCAUCUCUAUAAAAGGUGUAAACAAUUUUUACGGGUUGGUUUCAAUAUAAGGCAAGUAUGGCUUGUGAUGAGUUUUCUAUGUAAAUUUCAUUUUUUCCAUUUUUUUUUAUUUUUUAUUUUUUUUUCGUCAAAGUUGUCCCUGUGCAUAACUUAUGUCCAACUUUACCAGAUCGUCUCGGUGGCCCAAGGGAAUUGUUGCCGGCGGGCCUGUGGAGUACUGGUAAUGCAAAAUUACAUUUUUUUUUCUGCACAUUCUUUUGAUUUUCGCGAAAAGAUCGCAACUUUCGGGUGGAGGAGUUGCGCAACCGGCUCAUGUCUUGGACGUUAUGGCGUAGCCUCCGCGUGUCCCAUGAGAUCCCACUCCCUCAGCAGCAACAGUCUGGAUAAGCCAACUUUACCGCUUCGCAAUGCCAUUAAUCGGGUUGGCGGUAAUGCAAAAAGCUGCACUUUAGGUUUUUGGACCGCGCGUAAAGAUCGCUACGCUCGAGGGAAGACGUAGCGCAGGUUCUCCUGGACGUACCCGGUAUCGAUACUGGCGCGGGUUCCUUGAGAAAUCCUCUUCCCUCAACCCAUUCUCAGUCCUUUGGGUGGGGUAUUCUUGUUCAUGAUGAUGCGUGAAGGGGUAAAGUAGGCGGACUACUUUGCCAAGAUGGAGAGAAUGUGGUCUUCUAAUUGAAUGCGACGAAAAAAUGAACGUACGUGAAUGAUGCUCGUCGAAGGAUUUCACAAAGUAAUUGUCGAAGAUGGAAGCAGUUUUCUCUGGAGGCGAAGACAGAUCCUGAUCUCAAAAUGGAAUUCAGAUGUAGAUCCUUUCUACGUGUGGUGGUAUCAUCAGCUCCAGAAUAUUCUCCAGCUUCGAAGGUGCGAUACCUAACUGAUAUCUCUCGCCUCUCUCCCGCAUGUCCAGUUUCAAUUUUACGCGAUCAGCUUUUGACGGAAUAACCAGCGCAGCGUGGCGCGAUUUUAUUCAGCGGAACCGAAAUUUUACCGAGCUUCGAGAAGACGUGUACGUACAAUGUUUGUAAAUUGAACUUGUCGCCCUCCGCCCCCUCCCUUAAUCGCAGCAUUUGGCACGUUGGCCUAUGAGCUUUAUACGCGAUAGACGCGAUACAGCGCGGAAUAAUUAUUUUAGAAGUACCUACUCAGACUACCAGCUCGCUGAACGAUAUUUUUACGUGCGAAUUUUUUGAUUGGUCAUCGUUGCUCUCAUUGACCAAUGAGUAUACUUUUGAACGCAGCGCUCGAGCGUGAUAAUUUUAGCUGCCACGAUUAUUCUAUAGCUCAUUGAAGAACUGUAUUUUACGCAUGCAAAUAUUUGUAAAUGUGAUUAUGCCCUCGCCUGCUGUUUGGAUUGAAAUGAAUUUAUUGGAAAAGCUGUAGAUUAUUCCCUAUGAAGAUGGAGUAGUAGUCGCAUAUUAUUGAGAACUUGCUUGAAAGUUCCAUGCAAUGUUUACGUAGCACUUAUACCUACUUGUACCGCUACUUAUCGAUUUUAUGAAUUAUUCGCGCGGAUAUUUUGACGUUUUAUUCACGAUGAGAUCCUUUUUUUCCAAUUGGUGGAUGAAUAUCGUCGACGUAUUGGAUUUUGAAGCUGGACGUAUAUGAUACACGAGUAUUCUUACGCUUAAUUUUAGCACUUGUACGGCGCAAUACUGACUCACAACAACAACGCUUGCGGUACCACAAGUUUUUUUUUUUUUAAAUUGGAUAGGUACAAGAAUAUUUCGGAUCAAAAUUGGAUGGGGCGAUGUAUUUGGCUAUAUUUUCAAAAUUCGUCGUUGUAAGUUGAGCGCCGAUGUUGGUAUCUGGUCAACCUGGAGACCUCACAACAUCGGAAGAGACCCGGAGGGUUUUGCGAUGCCUACUGCGAUCGUCCCCGGCAUCCGGGGUACCAAGGCGGCAUGGUAGGGUCGCAUUAAACGAAGGGUAAUGAGGGAUGGCAGAUGUUACACGUUUAACUAGAUAUCUAACAUUGUUCGAAUCGCAGGUCGAAAGGUCUUUUCAUCGUCGGCGGCGUUCUUUGUGGUAUCUCGUGUACGACUUUUUCCUUCAAAAACACACUCGAGGUGUGAUUUUUGGAGCGAACGAGUCGUAUACGAGUUAUCCGAGGCGUCGCAGGGCGAUUUGUGGUGCGUGAAAGUGCGUGUGUCGAAGCUGCCAUGUGGCGAGUGUAGGGAAUUGAGAUACUGUUCCGGAGAGUUGGGCCCGACAAAGGGUUCGAUUGUCUGGACUGUUGAGAGUGCGCGAAGAGCGGAUGUCGAUCUGGAUUUUUAUGCUUUGUUAGAAUCUAGUUAAACGUGUAAGGUCUUUCCGUCAUCGUAUGGGUAGAGAAUAUUCAAAAAUUGAUGGGAGAUGACUGGGGAUCGAUUUUGGUACUGUGUGAAGACUCAUGUAGUUACAAGUGAGUCGUUAAUAUGCUAAUAAGGUACCUAGUAUAAGUUAGUUUACACGAGUCGAUUCAGGUGAGUCGUUAUUUAAUUACUUAUUAAUUAAGAUCAGCUUAUUUGCGUCAAAUUCGACAUAUGUAUGAGACAAGUGACGAGCAAAAUUGUCGAUCAUUCUUGCUGGUUUACGAUGAAAUUUGUCGAGAAAUUGAGAUUAGGACCCCCCCCCCCCCCUCCCGCCCCUCUAGUUUUUACGUAUAUUAUCAUGUUGAUGUUGUAUAAUUUCUGUUUGUGUAUUUUUUUUUUAAAUUGUUUGAAAAUUUGUAUCAUAUCACAAUCAUGUUAUCAUUAUUCGUAUAUUUUUGUAAUGGCCAAUCAUGGUUUUUCACUGUCGAGCGGCCGGCGGUGUUUUUUACUCCAGAUUGGUCAACGUGUUGUAGAAUUAAGUUUGUAUUUCUUUGCCGUUAAAAAAUUGAAACGAUUUUCGUUU